rnacentral:rRNA from 1 species
AUUGAACGCUGGCGGCAUGCUUUACACAUGCAAGUCGAACGGUGACAGGCCGCAAGGUGCUGACGAGUGGCGAACGGGUGAGUAAUGCAUCGGAACGUGCCCAGUCGUGGGGGAUAACGCAGCGAAAGCUGCGCUAAUACCGCAUACGAUCUAUGGAUGAAAGCGGGGGACCGUAAGGCCUCGCGCGAUUGGAGCGGCCGAUGUCAGAUUAGGUAGUUGGUGGGGUAAAGGCUCACCAAGCCAACGAUCUGUAGCUGGUCUGAGAGGACGACCAGCCACACUGGGACUGGGACACGGCCCAGACUCCGACGGGAGGCAGCAGUGGGGAAUUUUGGACAAUGGGCGCAAGCCUGAUCCAGCAAUGCCGCGUGCAGGAAGAAGGCCUUCGGGUUGUAAACUGCUUUUGUACGGAACGAAACGGUCCUGGUUAAUACCUGGGGCUAAUGACGGUACCGUAAGAAUAAGCACCGGCUAACUACGUGCCAGCCGCCGCCGUAACAC